rnacentral:rRNA from 1 species
AGAGUUUGAUCCUGGCUCAGGAUGAACGCUAGCGACAGGCUUAACACAUGCAAGUCGAGGGGCAGCAUGAGGUAGCAAUACCUUGAUGGCGACCGGCGCACGGGUGAGUAACGCGUAUGCAACCUGCCCGAUACCGGGGUAUAGCCCAUGGAAACGUGGAUUAACACCCCAUAGUACUUUUAUCCUGCAUGGGAUGUGAGUUAAAUGUUCAAGGUAUCGGAUGGGCAUGCGUCCUAUUAGUUAGUUGGCGGGGUAACAGCCCACCAAGACGAUGAUAGGUAGGGGUUCUGAGAGGAAGGUCCCCCACAUUGGAACUGAGACACGGUCCAAACUCCUACGGGAGGCAGCAGUGAGGAAUAUUGGUCAAUGGACGUAAGUCUGAACCAGCCAAGUCGCGUGAGGGAAGACUGCCCUAUGGGUUGUAAACCUCUUUUAUAAGGGAAGAAUAAGUUCUACGUGUAGAAUGAUGCCUGUACCUUAUGAAUAAGCAUCGGCUAACUCCGUGCCAGCAGCCGCGGUAAUACGGAGGAUGCGAGCGUUAUCCGGAUUUAUUGGGUUUAAAGGGUGCGUAGGCGGUUUAUUAAGUUAGUGGUUAAAUAUUUGAGCUAAACUCAAUUGUGCCAUUAAUACUGGUAAACUGGAGUACAGACGAGGUAGGCGGAAUAAGUUAAGUAGCGGUGAAAUGCAUAGAUAUAACUUAGAACUCCGAUAGCGAAGGCAGCUUACCAGACUGUAACUGACGCUGAUGCACGAGAGCGUGGGUAGCGAACAGGAUUAGAUACCCUGGUAGUCCACGCCGUAAACGAUGCUCACUGGUUCUGUGCGAUAUAUUGUACGGGAAUAAGCGAAAGUAUUA